UCUACAUAGUCCAACUGUGCCAAAACGUAGAAUGGGUCCUGGUCUUUCUCUUACAUGGCAUAACAUAACAGUCCAACUGUGCCAGAACGUAGAAUGGGUCCUGGUCUUCCUCUUACAUAGUGCCAGCGAACGUAGAAUGGGUCCCACUGGUCUUACUUUCCAUACCGUACAUAUCAUAUCGUCACAUCAUAGGUCGAGGACUAUGGAUCAUCCAACAUUCAUCCACAUCAACAACAAUUUAUGCAAUGCAACAUAUUCGUGAAUUCUAAUGCAACAACCUAGUAUAUCUCAUGGCAUUAAUGAUGCGUGAGUCAUGCUAAAAAUGUCCAUUUGUUUGCUUUAAAAUGUAAUAAGUUAUUCCACUCACCUCUGGAUAGCUCUGACCAGACACUGGAGCAGCUGACUCACUGCUGGGGUCCUCGGUUCCUC
rnacentral:lncRNA from 1 species